CAGUGCAUCCAGCGGGUGUGGGAGGUGCUGGGGCGUGCCGGGGUGCUGGGGUGAGGCCAGCGGCUGCAGCCUCGGUGGCCCAGCAUGAGGAGGUGGAGCUCAUGCACAGCCAGGAACACGUGGCCUUCAUGUUCAGCCUCCAGGCCCAGCGAGAGGAGGAGCUGCAGACCCUUCAGGAGAACUACAAGUCUGUCUACCUCCGCCCCGCCACCAACGUCUGUGCCCUGCUCUCGGCUGGCUCACUGCUGCAGAGGCCGUGGUGCUGAGUGAGUCUCCGAGGCUGUGUCUGGUGUGUGACGAGCAGGUGGAGCAACACGCAGCCUUACGGAAGGAGUGGCAUGGGUGACGCAGAGGCUUUCACUCAGGUGGUGCUGCCCGUGGCCUACCAGUUCAACCCACAGCUGGUCCUGGUCACUGCCAGCCUUGAUGCUGGUGCGGGGACCCACUUGGAGGUUGCUGCGUGAGUCCCGAUUGCUUUGAACAUAUGAUGGCCCUUCUGUCUGGCCUGGCCAAGGGCCGCAUAGUUCUGGCACUGGAGGGCGGCUUCAGCCUCAACACCAUCAGCUACUGCAUGACGCUGUGUGCCAAGGCUUUGCUGGGGGAUCCGCUGCCCCCCCUUGAGCCCCAGCUGGUGCCCAACAAGAGUGCCGUGCAGACCAUCAAUGACGUCAUCCGUACCCACAGCCGCUACUGGCUGGCGCUCUGCUUCACGAAAGAAGCAGCAGAAGAAGAAAAGAAGAGAAGGAAGAGGAGGAGAGGGUAUAUGUGUGUGUGUGUGUGUGUUAUAUGGACAGAAUUUAAACUGAUUUCUUUCAAUAUAUAUUUUAUUAUUAUUAUUGAAAGAAACUUCUCUUCUU